rnacentral:rRNA from 1 species
ACGAACGCUGGCGGCGUGCCUAAUACCUGCAAGUCGAACGCACUCUCGUUUAGAUUGAAGGAGUUUGCUCCUGAUUGAUAAACAUUUGAGUGAGUGGCGGACGGGUGAGUAACACGUGGGUAACCUGCCCUAAAGUGGGGGAUAACAUUUGGAAACAGAUGCUAAUACCGCAUAAAACCUAACACCGCAUGGUGUAGGGUUGAAAGAUGGUUUCGGCUAUCACUUUAGGAUGGACCCGCGGUGCAUUAGUUAGUUGGUGAGGUAAAGGCUCACCAAGACCGUGAUGCAUAGCCGACCUGAGAGGGUAAUCGGCCACACUGGGACUGAGACACGGCCCAGACUCCUACGGGAGGCAGCAGUAGGGAAUCUUCCACAAUGGACGAAAGUCUGAUGGAGCAACGCCGCGUGAGUGAAGAAGGUUUUCGGAUCGUAAAACUCUGUUGUUGGAGAAGAAUGUAUCUGAUAGUAACUGAUCAGGUAGUGACGGUAUCCAACCAGAAAGCCACGGCUAACUACGUG